GGGAAACCCAGUGUGAUUCGUCACACUAUCAUUAACUGAAUCCAUAGGUUAAUGAGGCGAACCGGGGGAACUGAAACAUCUAAGUACCCCGAGGAAAAGAAAUCAACCGAGAUUCCCCCAGUAGCGGCGAGCGAACGGGGAGGAGCCCAGAGCCUGAAUCAGCAUGUGUGUUAGUGGAAGCGUCUGGAAAGGCGCGCGAUACAGGGUGACAGCCCCGUACACAAAAGCGCAUGUGCUGUGAGCUCGAUGAGUAGGGCGGGACACGUGGUAUCCUGUCUGAAUAUGGGGGGACCAUCCUCCAAGGCUAAAUACUCCUGACUGACCGAUAGUGAACCAGUACCGUGAGGGAAAGGCGAAAAGAACCCCGGCGAGGGGAGUGAAAAAGAACCUGAAACCGUGUACGUACAAGCAGUGGGAGCACCCUUUGGGUGUGACUGCGUACCUUUUGUAUAAUGGGUCAGCGACUUAUAUUCUGUAGCAAGGUUAACCGAAUAGGGGAGCCGGAGGGAAACCGAGUCUUAAUUGGGCGUUAAGUUGCAGGGUAUAGACCCGAAACCCGGUGAUCUAGCCAUGGGCAGGUUGAAGGUUGGGUAACACUAACUGGAGGACCGAACCGACUAAUGUUGAAAAAUUAGCGGAUGACCUGUGGCUGGGGGUGAAAGGCCAAUCAAACCGGGAGAUAGCUGGUUCUCCCCGAAAGCUAUUUAGGUAGCGCCUCGUGAAUUCAUCUCCGGGGGUAGAGCACUGUUUCGGCUAGGGGGCCAUCCCGGCUUACCAACCCGAUGCAAACUGCGAAUACCGGAGAAUGUUAUCACGGGAGACACACGGCGGGUGCUAACGUCCGUCGUGAAGAGGGAAACAACCCAGACCGCCAGCUAAGGUCCCAAAGUCAUGGUUAAGUGGGAAACGAUGUGGGAAGGCCCAGACAGCCAGGAUGUUGGCUUAGAAGCAGCCAUCAUUUAAAGAAAGCGUAAUAGCUCACUGGUCGAGUCGGCCUGCGCGGAAGAUGUAACGGGGCUAAACCAUGCACCGAAGCUGCGGCAGCGACACUGUGUGUUGUUGGGUAGGGGAGCGUUCUGUAAGCCUGUGAAGGUGUGUCGUGAGGCAUGCUGGAGGUAUCAGAAGUGCGAAUGCUGACAUAAGUAACGAUAAAGCGGGUGAAAAGCCCGCUCGCCGGAAGACCAAGGGUUCCUGUCCAACGUUAAUCGGGGCAGGGUGAGUCGACCCCUAAGGCGAGGCCGAAAGGCGUAGUCGAUGGGAAACGGGUUAAUAUUCCCGUACUUGGUGUUACUGCGAAGGGGGGACGGAGAAGGCUAUGUUGGCCGGGCGACGGUUGUCCCGGUUUAAGCGUGUAGGUGUGUGUUCCAGGUAAAUCCGGUUCACUUUAACACUGAGGCGUGACGACGAGGCACUACGGUGCUGAAGCAACAAAUGCCCUGCUUCCAGGAAAAGCCUCUAAGCAUCAGGUAACAUCAAAUCGUACCCCAAACCGACACAGGUGGUCAGGUAGAGAAUACCAAGGCGCUUGAGAGAACUCGGGUGAAGGAACUAGGCAAAAUGGUGCCGUAACUUCGGGAGAAGGCACGCUGACACGUAGGUGAAGUGAUUUACUCAUGGAGCUGAAGUCAGUCGAAGAUACCAGCUGGCUGCAACUGUUUAUUAAAAACACAGCACUGUGCAAACACGAAAGUGGACGUAUACGGUGUGACGCCUGCCCGGUGCCGGAAGGUUAAUUGAUGGGGUCAGCGCAAGCGAAGCUCCUGAUCGAAGCCCCGGUAAACGGCGGCCGUAACUAUAACGGUCCUAAGGUAGCGAAAUUCCUUGUCGGGUAAGUUCCGACCUGCACGAAUGGCGUAAUGAUGGCCAGGCUGUCUCCACCCGAGACUCAGUGAAAUUGAACUCGCUGUGAAGAUGCAGUGUACCCGCGGCAAGACGGAAAGACCCCGUGAACCUUUACUAUAGCUUGACACUGAACAUUGAGCCUUGAUGUGUAGGAUAGGUGGGAGGCUUUGAAGUGUGGACGCCAGUCUGCAUGGAGCCGACCUUGAAAUACCACCCUUUAAUGUUUGAUGUUCUAACGUGGACCCGUUACCCGGGUUGCGGACAGUGUCUGGUGGGUAGUUUGACUGGGGCGGUCUCCUCCUAAAGAGUAACGGAGGAGCACGAAGGUUGGCUAAUCCUGGUCGGACAUCAGGAGGUUAGUGCAAUGGCAUAAGCCAGCUUGACUGCGAGCGUGACGGCGCGAGCAGGUGCGAAAGCAGGUCAUAGUGAUCCGGUGGUUCUGAAUGGAAGGGCCAUCGCUCAACGGAUAAAAGGUACUCCGGGGAUAACAGGCUGAUACCGCCCAAGAGUUCAUAUCGACGGCGGUGUUUGGCACCUCGAUGUCGGCUCAUCACAUCCUGGGGCUGAAGUAGGUCCCAAGGGUAUGGCUGUUCGCCAUUUAAAGUGGUACGCGAGCUGGGUUUAGAACGUCGUGAGACAGUUCGGUCCCUAUCUGCCGUGGGCGCUGGAGAACUGAGGGGGGCUGCUCCUAGUACGAGAGGACCGGAGUGGACGCAUCACUGGUGUUCGGGUUGUCAUGCCAAUGGCACUGCCCGGUAGCUAAAUGCGGAAGAGAUAAGUGCUGAAAGCAUCUAAGCACGAAACUUGCCCCGAG
rnacentral:rRNA from 1 species